AGCCUGAUGCAGCCAUGCCGCGUGUGUGAAGAAGGCCUUCGGGUUGUAAAGCACUUUCAGCCGUGAGGAAGGCAUUGUACUUAAUACGUGCAGUGUUUGACGUUAGCGGCAGAAGAAGCACCGGCUAACUCCGUGCCAGCAGCCGCGGUAAUACGGAGGGUGCGAGCGUUAAUCGGAAUUACUGGGCGUAAAGCGCAUGCAGGCGGUCUGUUAAGCAAGAUGUGAAAGCCCCGGGCUUAACCUGGGAACCGCAUUUUGAACUGGCAGGCUAGAGUCUUGUAGAGGGGGGUAGAAUUUCAGGUGUAGCGGUGAAAUGCGUAGAGAUCUGAAGGAAUACCGGUGGCGAAGGCGGCCCCCUGGACAAAGACUGACGCUCAGAUGCGAAAGCGUGGGGAGCAAACAGGAUUAGAUACCCUGGUAGUCCACGCCGUAAACGAUGUCUACUUGGAGGCUGUAACCUUGAGUUGUGGCUUUCGGAGCUAACGCGUUAAGUAGACCGCCUG
rnacentral:rRNA from 1 species